rnacentral:rRNA from 1 species
GACGAACGCUGGCGGCGUGCUUAACACAUGCAAGUCGAACGGUGAAGGGACUGGUUUUGCUGGUCCUGGAUGAGUGGCGAACGGGUGAGUAACACGUGAGUAACCUGCCCCCUUCUUCUGGAUAACCGCAUGAAAGUGUGGCUAAUACGGGAUAUUCUGGGUCUGUCGCAUGGUGGGCCUGGGAAAGAUUGCGCCUUUUUUGGUGUUUUUGGUGGGGGAUGGGCUCGCGGCCUAUCAGCUUGUUGGUGGGGGGAUGGCCUACCAAGGCGGUGACGGGUAGCCGGCCUGAGAGGGUGGACGGUCACACUGGGACUGAGACACGGCCCAGACUCCUACGGGAGGCAGCAGUGGGGAAUAUUGCACAAUGGGCGCAAGCCUGAUGCAGCGACGCCGCGUGAGGGAUGGAGGCCUUCGGGUUGUGAACCUCUUUCGCCAGUGUAGCAGGCCUGCCUCUUUUUGUGGGUGGGUUGACGGUAGCUGGAUAAGAAGCGCCGGCUAACUACGUG